GACGAACGCUGGCGGCGUGCUUAACACAUGCAAGUCGAACGGAAAGGCCCAGCUUGCUGGGUGCUCGAGUGGCGAACGGGUGAGUAACACGUGGGUGAUCUGCCCCUAACUUCGGGAUAAGCUUGGGAAACUGGGUCUAAUACCGGAUAGGACAAUCGUUUAGUGUCGGUUGUGGAAAGUUUUUUCGGUUAGGGAUGAGCCCGCGGCCUAUCAGCUUGUUGGUGGGGUAAUGGCCUACCGAGGCGUCGACGGGUAGCCGGCCUGAGAGGGUGGACGGCCACAUUGGGACUGAGAUACGGCCCAGACUCCUACGGGAGGCAGCAGUGGGGAAUAUUGCACAAUGGGCGCAAGCCUGAUGCAGCGACGCCGCGUGGGGGAUGACGGCCUUCGGGUUGUAAACCUCUUUCGACAGGGACGAAGCUUUGGUGACGGUACCUGUAUAAGAAGCACCGGCUAACUACGUGCCAGCCGCCGCCGUAAAAC
rnacentral:rRNA from 1 species